UACAGAGGUCCCAAGCGUUGUUCGGAUUCACUGGGCGUAAAGGGUGCGUAGGCGGUCGGGUAAGUCUGAUGUGAAAUCUCACAGCUUAACUGUGAAACUGCAUUGGAUACUAUCCGGCUCGAGGAAUGGAGGGGAGACUGGAAUACUUGGUGUAGCAGUGAAAUGCGUAGAUAUCAAGUGGAACACCAGUGGCGAAGGCGAGUCUCUGGACAUUUCCUGAUGCUGAGGCACGAAAGCCAGGGGAGCAAACAGG
rnacentral:rRNA from 1 species